rfam:Picea glauca, whole genome shotgun sequence.
AUAAUGGUGUUUCUAAACACCACCAACUCUUCUUGGAUUUUUUAU